AUUGAACGCUGGCGGCAGGCCUAACACAUGCAAGUCGAGCGGCAGCGCGGGGGCAACCCUGGCGGCGAGCGGCGAACGGGUGAGUAACAUAUCGGAACGUACCCUAUCGUGGGGGAUAACACAUCGAAAGAUGUGCUAAUACCGCAUACGACCUGAGGGUGAAAGCAGGGGAUCGCAAGACCUUGCGCGACAGGAGCGGCCGAUAUCGGAUUAGCUAGUUGGUGAGGUAAAGGCUCACCAAGGCGACGAUCCGUAGCUGGUCUGAGAGGACGACCAGCCACACUGGAACUGAGACACGGUCCAGACUCCUACGGGUGGCAG
rnacentral:rRNA from 1 species